GGGUGGCUGCAAUUUUUUUUUUUUAAAAAUGCAAAUUAGCACUGACGCUUGGGCUCCUAGCAACCACUCUGGUCACUGGGUGGGUGCCCCCAGAUCAGGAUAAGUGUCCAGAGGAUCUAAGACGCACUAAUGCUUCCCUGGUGGAAACCCCAGUAGACUCCAUUUAUGCUCAGGAACCGACAGAUGAUUGCACCGUUGCCUACCCAAACCGGUGGACCUCUGCUGUCUAGAAUCUACCUGGCUGGCUGGAUCCCAUUGCAAUUGUUCACUUGGAGUGUCUGGCUGGGACUUGGAACAGCUCUGCAGCGAGACCACCUCAUUCUCCUGACGUUUCACCCUCUCUUGGUCCUCUCUGCUGGCCUCCAGAGGGUUUAUCAGCUGUGUCCCCAGCCUGAGCACCCAGACAAGCAGCAGCAGAAAUGCCACCUCCUUCGGAGUCGAGAGCAAACUGGGAGGAAAUUCCAUGCAAAGGGAGGAUGGUGCACAGCGCUGUCCUGCUGAUGCUCACGGAGGGCCUCCGCUGAGCUGCGUUGUCUGUCCCCACAAUGCCCUUUCUCAGGGCUCCUGCACAGCCUGCUUCAUCCCGUCGGCACCUCAUGACAGCGUUCAUUUGGGGAGGUGAGAACGUGACUGUGCUGUUCAGACAAGGACUCUCUUCUGGAAAGGAAGGAAAAAGAGGGCUGAGGGUUACAGAGGCUGAUCAAGCCAGGUCAGGAGAAGAAAGAGACCCAAGCAACCUCCUGUGGGAGACCCACUCAAGGGGAAACGUGGCUAUAAAGCGCAAAGUCCACCUAGCUGCAUUAGCUGCCCUUUCUAUGCUGGCUGCUGUGUCAGCUGAGCAUUUACGGUGUCCCGUUGGAGGCUCUUGUGUUGACUCUCCCCGACUUUGCUGGAGUCUUACAGUGGGGGUACUGACUCCUGCUGAUUGGCUGUGGUAGGCACUGGGCGGGGCCUGUUAACUCCGCCUUGUAUAUAAGAGAGUUGAGCCUGGCUCUUGGGUCACUCAGAAGCAGGGUCUGGCACAGGGAGGUCUCUGUAGGGAUAGCCAUGCUUUGACUGAGGUUAGUAUUUUAAUUGUUUCAGUUACCACUGGCCAACACAUGGGAAGGGGGUGAAUUGGGACUAAAGACAGCGUGUGCUGAUUCUGUUCAGGGCAGGGUGGAAAAGGCACCUGCUAACACGAGGCACUUACAAUAUACCCAUCACCAGGGUGUCUAGGAACCUGGAACACAUCAGGAAGAGCAUCAUUUUGGUCCACAAAUUUAAGCCACCUCCCCUGCUUGCUUGUCCUUUUUCUUUUAUUCCAUUUCCCCUCUGUUUUCUGUAUCCUUUUUAAACAGCGCAAUGCUCUAAAUGCACAUGCAUUAGAAAGUUUUGCAAGAAUUUUUGUGGUCAGAAAUUCAUGUAUUUGCAUUGGGAAAUCUUGAUUCUAAGAAAAGCAAAAAGAAAAGGAGUAC